GGUUAAGCGACUAAGCGUACACGGUGGAUGCCCUGGCAGUCAGAGGCGAUGAAGGACGUGCUAAUCUGCGAUAAGCGUCGGUAAGGUGAUAUGAACCGUUAUAACCGGCGAUUUCCGAAUGGGGAAACCCAGUGUGUUUCGACACACUAUCAUUAACUGAAUCCAUAGGUUAAUGAGGCGAACCGGGGGAACUGAAACAUCUAAGUACCCCGAGGAAAAGAAAUCAACCGAGAUUCCCCCAGUAGCGGCGAGCGAACGGGGAGCAGCCCAGAGCCUGAAUCAGUGUGUGUGUUAGUGGAAGCGUCUGGAAAGGCGCGCGAUACAGGGUGACAGCCCCGUACACAAAAAUGCACAUACUGUGAGCUCGAUGAGUAGGGCGGGACACGUGGUAUCCUGUCUGAAUAUGGGGGGACCAUCCUCCAAGGCUAAAUACUCCUGACUGACCGAUAGUGAACCAGUACCGUGAGGGAAAGGCGAAAAGAACCCCGGCGAGGGGAGUGAAAAAGAACCUGAAACCGUGUACGUACAAGCAGUGGGAGCCUCUUUAUGGGGUGACUGCGUACCUUUUGUAUAAUGGGUCAGCGACUUAUAUUCUGUAGCAAGGUUAACCGAAUAGGGGAGCCGAAGGGAAACCGAGUCUUAACUGGGCGUUAAGUUGCAGGGUAUAGACCCGAAACCCGGUGAUCUAGCCAUGGGCAGGUUGAAGGUUGGGUAACACUAACUGGAGGACCGAACCGACUAAUGUUGAAAAAUUAGCGGAUGACUUGUGGCUGGGGGUGAAAGGCCAAUCAAACCGGGAGAUAGCUGGUUCUCCCCGAAAGCUAUUUAGGUAGCGCCUCGUGAAUUCAUCUCCGGGGGUAGAGCACUGUUUCGGCAAGGGGGUCAUCCCGACUUACCAACCCGAUGCAAACUGCGAAUACCGGAGAAUGUUAUCACGGGAGACACACGGCGGGUGCUAACGUCCGUCGUGAAGAGGGAAACAACCCAGACCGCCAGCUAAGGUCCCAAAGUCAUGGUUAAGUGGGAAACGAUGUGGGAAGGCCCAGACAGCCAGGAUGUUGGCUUAGAAGCAGCCAUCAUUUAAAGAAAGCGUAAUAGCUCACUGGUCGAGUCGGCCUGCGCGGAAGAUGUAACGGGGCUAAACCAUG
rnacentral:rRNA from 1 species